GUGCUGAUCUUGAUCUGCAAGAAAAGAACAAGCAGCCGUGGGCCUUGGUAAUGGGCAUCUCAUCCACCCCAGAGGUUUUCAGUGACCGGGUGUGGGCUAACUCUGGGUGGAGACGGGUGUCCCGGUGUGAGGAGGGGAGGGGGCCAGAGGGCAUGCCGCCAUCCGCAGGACACUAGGAGUGGUGACCACCUGGGGCACCUGUCUUUGCACAGGCCCUGGGAGAUGCAGGGAAGGUGCCAUCCUGUUUGUCUCUGGGGAUGCUCUCAGGGUCCCUGCAGCUGGCACAAAACAGAGGCAGAAUCUGCUCCCAUCACUGGCACUCACCCUCCACACCCACAGGGUGCCCGGAGGGCCUAUACUUGGCUCCUCUCAAGGCCACCCCCACCAGAGUGAGAUCCAAAGUGUUUGUCCCCAAACCGGUUUGCGCCCAUUGUGUCCUUGUUAUUGUAACCCCUACUGUAAUUGUGUUAUACAAGCUGCUGAAACUUGAGGGCAAACAGAAGAAGGGUAGUUUCUGUGAAAAUAAACUUGAAUCCCUUGGAAAAGCCUGAUAAAGGCAAGUUGCUUAACAAAUUUCUGCAAAUGAGUGGCAUGGAAAAUGGUGACAGCAUGACAAAGCCACAUGGAGACCGUGCAGGUCUCAGGAAAUCUACAGAAGGCAGAAAUACUAACAUUGUCAUCAAAGGCAGGGGACCCUGGCUCCGACUGCCAUCCCCGCCACCGUCCCCUGAACAACCUGGGUUCUGCGACCCUGGGCCUGCCUGAUACCCCACUCAUCCCAGGCCUGUCUCCUGUGACUUUAAACCGUGUUCACGGUGAGACACGGGUGGCCGCUGUGAAAGACGACGCGAGUGGAGCCAUAUUAAAAUACAGCCAGGGCAGCCAUUUCAGAAGAAUUGCGUUUUACAUCUUGUUUUCAUUAUCUUCCAAACUGAACCAAACCGCCAACAUCCCAAGAAGUCAGAAAGGACGAGAAUAUCCUGUCUACAAGGACUCAUGCAACUGGACUUAGCUGAGGACUGGAUUGCUAACCAAUCGACGGAGUACGAGGCUGGCCUUCUGCCUGAUGACCGAACCUCGGCUAAUCUAUGAAGCGCAAACCUAGCCUGACCUCAUCCAGCACCAAUGAACUCUUCUUUAAUACAACUCAACUCAUCCUCCCUUUUUCCCGGAAAAACCCUGAGCCCGUCUCCUCGAAUCGGGGCACUAUUUGGGUUUCUACCUGAAUUGCUCCCGAAUUGCAAUUCUUUGAUCCCAAAUAAACGCUUUGCCUCUUA